rnacentral:snRNA from 1 species
AGGUGCGAGAGCGAUCUGGCUGUGACAUGUUUCAUCCCAUUGACUGUCAACUGCUCUGUAUGGACAGGUGGGUGUCUCCCUCCCUUGUUGUUCCGUGUACAUCUCUCUCAAAGCUGUGUACUCAGUGGACAAGGAUAAGAGCAGGCCUUUCUUUGGUAAAUAGUAUAUGAUAGAUGUGCUCCCUGCUAGAACUGACAAACAACUCUAAGCAGUAUGUGAGUAUAAUUCCAAUCAGACUUUAAAGCCCCAAAGCGGGGGGGGGGGCUGUAACCAUAGUGAGGGCAAGGCAUUAACAAAAAUUCCACCUCCUGAAUUU